rnacentral:rRNA from 1 species
AGUGGCAGACGGGUGAGUAACGCGUGGGAACGUACCUUUCACUACGGAAUAGCUCCGGGAAACUGGUGGUAAUACCGUAUACGCCCUAAGGGGGAAAGAUUUAUCGGUGAAAGAUCGGCCCGCGUUGGAUUAGCUAGUUGGUGAGGUAAUGGCUCACAAAGGCGACGAUCCAUAGCUGGUCUGAGAGGAUGAUCAGCCACACUGGGACUGAGACACGGCCCAGACUCCUACGGGAGGCAGCAGUGGGGAAUCUUGCACAAUGGGCGAAAGCCUGAUGCAGCCAUGCCGCGUGAAUGAUGAAGGCCUUAGGGUUGUAAAAUUCUUUCGUCAGGGAUGAUAAUGACCGUACCUGAAGAAGAAGCCCCGGCUAACUUCGUGCCAGCAGCCGCGGUAAUACGAAGGGGGCUAGCGUUGUUCGGAAUUACUGGGCGUAAAGCGCACGUAGGCGGACUUUUAAGUCGGGUGUGAAAUCCCGGGGCUCAACCUCGGAACUGCAUUUGAAACUGGAAGUCUUGAGACCAGGAGAGGUUAGCGGAAUACCGAGUGUAGAGGUGAAAUUCGUAGAUAUUCGGUGGAACACCAGUGGCGAAGGCGGCUAACUGGACUGGUACUGACGCUGAGGUGCGAAAGUGUGGGGAGCAAACAGGAUUAGAUACCCUGGUAGUCCACACCGUAAACGAUGAGAGCUAGUUGUUG